CUCAGCAUGGAGUCUGCUUGAGAUUUUGUCUCUCCCUCUCCCUGUGCCCCUCCCACACGUCCUGUCCCUCUCUAAAAUAAAUAAAUAAAAUCUUUAAAAAAAAUUAAGCAUGAUCUGAUCGUGACAGGUAUGAGGAGAGUGGGGAAGAUGCUGGAGUGGGUGGCAAAUAUGCAAUGUAGCACUGACUGAAACAAGUCAGACGGAGCCAAAGCCUCCCGUUGUAUAAAGAUCCCAGAGAGUGGAGUUACUUUACAGGCACUUUAGUAAUGAUACUUGUUAGGAGUGAAAUUUAGUUUGGAGAAGGCGCCAUAUCAAGAAAUCCUUGGCAUUAGCCCAGAGUAGAGCUUGUAUUUUCCUUUGGCUUGGGCAUAUUUCCCCCACCCCCUUUGUGUCAGUGCUUCAUCCUUCUUUGGAAGAAAAUAAAGUCUCCGCACAGGCGGCGUUUGAUGCAGGGCUCAUUUGAUCUGGUUGAUUCCGGAAACAGAUGCAUCCUCUUGGUCUCAGCACAAAUUGUUGGGGUUUCUUUUUUCUGGUUUUACCAAAGCCAGAUCUGUGUCUCUAUCAGCACAGAGGAAAAAAGUAAUUACUGAAGUAUUAGUGUGAUUAUUAUUUCCUGAUACGAAUUGCUGCAUUCCUUACUUGUAUCUGGUCCUUUCCCUGGGCUGGAGUUAGGAAAUUGAAAAACAAACUCACCUUGGACAAAGCCUGUAUUGAUUAUCUUUUAAUCUCGUUUGUGUUGGAGAAAGCUUUGAGAGUUUAACGAAAGAGGAAAAACCCUCUCCUUGAAGAAUUCACGUUUUCUCACACCUACAAAAUGGGACGUGAUUUCAAGAGAUUCACAAACCUCUUGAAGCCCCUGAGGACCCUUGAGGAAUCUGUGGACCCUGGUUGAGAACCUCUGGUCUAUACAGUCAAAAAUGAAAUGGGAGAACUGCUUGCUGAAAUUGGACAGUGACAAUUGUCUACUAAUUCUGCAGUACAUUUUGGGAGGUCAGAGUAAACCUGAAUUACAUUCGCCGUGUAGUUGCUCAAGCCUCUGCUAUGGCAUUGAUUCAGUGGGUGGACCUCAGCUUUCCCAAUGCCCACACCUCCAUGCCAACCCAAACAUACGCGAAGGUUCUAGAGAGAGGAGGAAGAGGAGCAGGAAAUCAUUUAAGACUUUUCAUUUUUCAAAGUGCAUCAUGCCUGCCUUUCGACAACGACAAAAGUUACGAGCAUACUCAACAGGCAGAAAACAUAGCUUGAAGAAACCAAACAGGUACCAGAACCAGAAGGAGAUAUGGUAGGAAUGUUGGAAUUAUCAGACCAGGAAUUUUUAAAAGCUAUGAUUGAUAUGCCAAGGGCUUUAAUGGAAAAAGUAUACAACAUUCAAGAACAGAAAUGUAAACAGAAAAAAAAAUUUUAAGAAAGAAUGAAAUGAAAUGCUAGCAAUAAAGAAAACACUGUAACAGAAAUGAAGAAUGUCUCUCUGAUGGGCUCAUUAGUAGACAGCACACGGCUGAGGAAAGAAUCUCUGAGCCUGAGGAUAUGACAAUAGAAACUUCCAACACUGAAAAGCAGAGAGAACAAAAGACUGAAAACAAAACAAAACAAAACAAACCCCAAAACAAAUCCGAAACCAAAACCCAGAAUAGAAUAUCCAAGAACUGUGGGACAAUUACAAAAAGUUUAACAUACAUGUAAUGAGAGUAUUAGAAGGAACAGAGAAAAAGGGACAGAAGCAAUAUUUAAAGCAAUGAUGAUUGAGAAUUUCCCUAAAUUCAUGUCAGACCCCAACCCCCAGGAAGCUCAGAGAACACCAAGCAGGAUAAAUGACCAAAAAAAAAAAAAAAAAAAAAAAAAAAAAAA